rnacentral:rRNA from 1 species
AAACCGCGACAGGGGGAUCCCAAGUGCUCAUGCAUUGCAUGGGCUGUUCUUUGGUCUAAGUAACCAGAGGAGUAAGGGCUGGGCAAGACCGGUGCCAGCCGCCGCGGUAAUACCGGCAGCUCAAGUGGUAGCCGCGAUUAUUGGGCCUAAAACGUUCGUAGCCGGAUAAGUAAGUCUUUGGUUAAAUCCUGCGACUUAACCGUGGGAAAUCUAGAGAUACUGCUUGUCUUGAGACCGGGAGAGGUUGGAGGUACUCCUAGGGUAGGAGUGAAAUCCUGUAAUCCUAGGGGGACCACCUGUGGCGAAGGCGUCCAACUGGAACGGGUCUGACGGUGAGGGACGAAACCUAGGGGAGCGAGCCGGAUUAGAUACCCGGGUAGUCCUAGGCGUAAAUGAUGCGAGUUAAGUGUGGGGGCAUCUACGAGAUGGCCCUGUGCUGUAGGGUAGCCGUUAAACUCGCUGCCUGGGGAGUACGGUCGCAAGGCUGAAACUUAAAGGAAUUGGCGGGGGAGCAC